rnacentral:lncRNA from 1 species
CUCAGGGUAGAGGCCGACGGUUCAGGGGGGCAACUGGGCAGGCCCUGGCCAGCCCCGGGGUCCCAGGCCCUCGGCUGAGCAGCACCUGGCUCUGAUUCGCAGGGUCUCACCUGCUCUGGCUCCGCCCAUUUUCCCACACCUUCCAGCCACUCCUCCAGCCCCACAAGCACCUGCCCUUCAGUUCUGAGGAGACCAGGGGCCACCGACCCCAGGACCUGUUACUUGGGUGGCCUCACAUGAACACCUCUCUGCGGCUCUGGAGUGCGGGUGCUACAGGGGAUGACUGGGGACGGGCCCGACUCCCAAGGUGGCUGAGGCCAGCCUCUGCAGAUCUCCUCUCUUGUGGCCUCCUUCCUCCCCAGAGCUAGUCAUCCCUUCCGAGUGGCCUGCUCACUUCCUCCAGGCUGAAGUGCUGCAAAUAGCCCACCCUGCUCAAUUACCCAGGGAGGGGCUCGAGGGGACAGAGAAGAACUCUGUCCCAGGACACAGCGGCCCUGUCACAUCCAGCACUCCCGGCUGCCCUCCAGAGUGGCUCCCCACUCAGUCGUGGGCCUCCCUGGCCCUGCUCGUAAUGCAGAACCUCAGUUUCUCCACCUUUAAAACGGGAACGAUGCCAGCCACACGUGGUGUGGCCACAUGCCGGUAAAGAGUCUGCCCCGUGCUCGACACACAAGUGGCCUCCCCACCCUGGUGUUCGAGGCCCUGCACAUUCUGGUUGUUUGGGUGGCUGGAAGUUCAACCCUUCCUUACCCUCCCCUCUCCGGGAAGCCACCGAAGCCACAGCGAUCCUGCUCCCUUCUUCCCUGUCACCUGGAUGCUGUGACGUCCGUGGGGUGGCCGGGAGGUUGAGCCUUGUGAGAAUGACUAAGAACCAGGAGAGAGAGAGCCGUGGGUGGCUGGUGGAUCAUCAGCGUCAAAACUUCCGUUGCCAUCUGCAAACACGGGCCACUCCCAGAGCAGGAGGCCAGGAGGCCGGCCCAGCCUGGCUACCAUGGUGCUGGCCAGGGCCACCCACGCCACAGUGGAAGGGCAGGGACAGUGCUGAGAGGCGAGGGGGUGGUGGGGGCUGGGCUGUGGUUUUCUCAGAGCUCUGGGCUUCCCUGGCCUGGGGACUCCCCUGACCCCACCUCUCAGGGAUUUUCUUUCCAGCAGUGACUGAUUCACUUAUUGCCAGAUGCCAGCAUCCAGGGCCUGGACGGGGGAGAGCAGAAGUGAUGUCGGAACACAGUGGAUGAUCCUCCCAGGGGUUGACAGCAGGGUGGGGGGACCCACCUGGGAAGUAGCUGGGGGCUUAAGAGCAGGCAGGACCCCACCUGGCCCCACCCAGCUGACAAAUGCUCCCAGGCAGAGCCAGCCACUCCCCUCUCUUGACAGCCGUCACUCAGGCAUCUCCGUAUGUGCCUCGCAGGAGAGCCAGCCAGGGUAUGGAUUCCAGAUCCCAGAGAAAAGCUGUAACUCAGCAUGGAAAGUCGUUCUCAUGCAAACAUGCGGCCAAGGAUGGUGUAAAUUGGGUACAGCCCUUCCCAGGGCAAUCUGGCAACAUAGAAAAUGAAAACAAAAACGCUCCGACUCUGUUCAGAAAGAUUUUGUGAAAUUGACAGACCUUUGGCUCCCUCCCCUCCC